rnacentral:rRNA from 1 species
UACGUAGGGUGCGAGCGUUUGUCCGGAUUUAUUGGGCGUAAAGAGCUUGUAGGCGGUUUGUCGCGUCUGCUGUGAAAAUCCGGGGCUCAACCCCGGACUUGCAGUGGGGUACGGGCAGACUAGAGUGUGGUAGGGGAGACUGGAAUUCCUGGUGUAGCGGUGAAAUGCGCAGAUAUCAGGAGGAACACCGAUGGCGAAGGCAGUCUCUGGGC